AGCAUGACGGAGCAACGCCGCGCGAGUGAAGAAGGUCUUCGGAUCGUAAAGCUCUGUUGAUGGGGACGAACGUGCGAAGGGUGAAUAAUCCUUUGCAAUGACGGUACCUAUCGAGGAAGCCACGGCUAACUACGUGCCAGCAGCCGCGGUAAUACGUAGGUGGCGAGCGUUGUCCGGAAUCAUUGGGCGUAAAGGGAGCGCAGGCGGGCAUGUAAGUCUUUCUUAAAAGUUCGGGGCUCAACCCCGUGAUGGGAAAGAAACUACAUGUCUUGAGUACAGGAGAGGAAAGCGGAAUUCCCAGUGUAGCGGUGAAAUGCGUAGAUAUUGGGAGGAACACCAGUGGCGAAGGCGGCUUUCUGGACUGCAACUGACGCUGAGGCUCGAAAGCCAGGGGAGCGAACGGGAUUAGAUACCCCGGUAGUUCCUGGCCGUAAACGAUGGAUACUAGGUGUGGGAGGUAUCGACCCCUAACCGUGCCGGAGUUACCGCAAUAAGGUAUCCCCGCCCUGGGGGAAGUAC
rnacentral:rRNA from 1 species